rnacentral:rRNA from 1 species
AGAGUUUGAUCAUGGCUCAGGACGAACGCUGGCGGCGUGCUUAACACAUGCAAGUCGAACGGAGUUUAAGAGGAAGCUUGCGAAUCUUAAACUUAGUGGCGGACGGGUGAGUAACGCGUGGAUAACCUGCCUACAUGACCGGGACAACACCGGGAAACUGGUGCUAAUACCGGAUACGCUCAUCACUAUACAUGUAGAGAUGAGGAAAGGAGAAAUCCGCAGGUAGAUGGGUCCGCGUCCCAUUAGCUAGUUGGGGGUGUAACGGACCACCAAGGCGACGAUGGGUAGCCGGCCUGAGAGGGUGAACGGCCACACUGGAACUGAGACACGGUCCAGACUCCUACGGGAGGCAGCAGUGGGGAAUCUUCCGCAAUGGGCGAAAGCCUGACGGAGCAACGCCGCGUGAGUGAGGAAGGCCUUCGGGUCAUAAAGCUCUGUCUUCAGGGAAGAAAAAAAUGACGGUACCUGAGGAGGAAGCCCCGGCUAACUACGUGCCAGCAGCCGCGGUAAAACGUAGGGGGCGAGCGUUGUCCGGAAUUACUGGGCGUAAAGGGCGCGUAGGCGGUUAUUUAAGUCAGAGGUGAAAACUACCGGCUUAACCGGUAGCCUGCCUUUGAAACUGGAUGACUUGAGGGCAGGAGAGGGGAGUGGAAUUCCCAGUGUAGCGGUGAAAUGCGUAGAUAUUGGGAGGAGCACCAGUGGCGAAGGCGGCUCUCUGGCCUGUUUCUGACGCUGAGGCGCGAAAGCGUGGGGAGCAAACGGGAUUAGAUACCCCGGUAGUCCACGCUGUAAACGAUGGGUGCUAGGUGUAGGAGGUAUCGACCCCUUCUGUGCCGUAGUUAACACAAUAAGCACCCCGCCUGGGGAGUACGGCCGCAAGGUUGAACUCAAAGGAAUUG